UGAGGAAUAUUGGUCAAUGGACGGAAGUCUGAACCAGCCAAGUAGCGUGCAGGAUGACGGCCCUAUGGGUUGUAAACUGCUUUUAUGUGGGAAUAAAGUGAGGGACGUGUCCCUUUUUGUAGGUACCACAUGAAUAAGCAACGGCUAAUUACGUGCCAGCAGCCGCGGUAACACGUAAGUUGCGAGCGUUGUUCGGAAUUAUUGGGCGUAAAGGGCAUGUAGGCGGUCUGUCAAGCCAGGCGUGAAAGCCAGGGGCUCAACCCCUGAACUGCGCUUGGAACUGGCGGACUGGAGUCGCUGAGGGGGAACCGGAAUUCCUGGUGUAGGGGUGAAAUCUGUAGAUAUCAGGAAGAACACCGAUGGCGAAGGCAGGUUUCCAGCAGACGACUGACGCUGAGGUGCGAAGGUGCGGGGAGCAAACAGGAUUAGAUACCCUGGAGU
rnacentral:rRNA from 1 species